ACGGACAUCCUGUGUGUGCUGACGGACAGCUACAGACAGCCACGGACGUCCUGUGUGUGCUGGCGGACACCGACGGACGUCCUGUGCGUACUGAACAGGCAACCCACGUGGGCCAAAAUCACCAGAACAGUCCACGGGAAGGGUCAGCGUGCUGAGUCCAAGGACCAUCGUGUUGAUAUGUGUACUGAUGGAUAGCCACGGAAGUCUUGUGUGUGCUGACGGACACACACGGACACACAUGGGUAGCCACGGACGUCCUGUGUGUACUAAACAGGCAACCCACGUGGGCCAAAAUGACCAGAACAGUCCAUGGGAAGGGUCAGUGUAGAAACCCGUUAAAAAAAAAAAAAAAAAAGAAGAAAAGAAAAGAGAGAGAGAAUGGUCGAGUAUCUUUGUGGUUGAGUCGCGGGCAAUACAGAUCGAUCGGGAAAUUUGAAGUACGAGAAGGUCGAAGAAUGGAUCGUGAGUGAAGCAUGAGUUGAGACAAGCUGCUCUACCAUUGUUAGAAAUGUCUUAGAUUGAUCAUACGACAGUUUUGGAAGAAUUACAUUUUUGAAGCACGACGGUUUAGAAGCUCAACGUUUUGGAAGAUUGACGUUUCUUCAUCGCGAAGUUUUCUCAGAAUAACUUCGUAUCAGUAAAAUAUUAUUCUGAAGACAUUAUAAGUCGGAAGCAGGACGGGAAUUAAGCAGGACGGGAAGCAAGCACGACGGGAUUGAAGCACGACAGGAAAACCCGAACUUGGGCGAAAACCCUAAUUUCGGUAUUACAAAAUUUUUUGAGGAAGCCGGAGGCUCGGGAAAUAUUUUUAAAGGGAUAUCAGACAUCAUCUGUAGUUUAUUAAAAAUAUUCAGAGAAUCAGAAAGGGAGCGGAAAAAUAUUCGGGAUUGAUCGCGGGUCAGAAAUUCACAAGAAGGGUCGAAAUCGCGCAAAGGAACCGAGAAACUCGAGGUGGCUUGAUCAGAAGGGAUAUUAACGUGGUGGAAACUGUCUAACCAGCUGAGUGUUAAGAGAAGCUGGAGGUGUCGC
rnacentral:lncRNA from 1 species